UACAGAGGGGGCAAGCGUUGUUCGGAAUUAUUGGGCGUAAAGGGCGCGUAGGCGGCCUUGCAAGUCAAAGGUGAAAUCCCUCGGCUCAACUGAGGAACUGCCUUUGAAACUGCAUGGCUUGAGGCCGGGAGGGGGUAGCGGAAUUCCCAGUGUAGCGGUGAAAUGCGUAGAUAUUGGGAGGAACACCAGUGGCGAAGGCGGCUACCUGGACCGGUUCUGACGCUGAUGCGCGAAAGCGUGGGUAGCAAACAGG
rnacentral:rRNA from 1 species